UAGGGAAUCUUCGGCAAUGGGGGGAACCCUGACCGAGCAACGCCGCGUGAGUGAAGAAGGUUUUCGGAUCGUAAAGCUCUGUUGUUAAGGAAGAACGAGUGUGAGAAUGGAAAGUUCAUGCUGUGACGGUACUUAACCAGAAAGGGACGGCUAACUACGUGCCAGCAGCCGCGGUAAUACGUAGGUCCCGAGCGUUGUCCGGAUUUAUUGGGCGUAAAGCGAGCGAAGGCGGUUAGAAAAGUCUGAAGUGAAAGGCAGGGGCUCAAACGUUGUAGGCUUUGGAAACUGUUUAACUUGAGUGCAGAAGGGGAGUGUGGAAUUCCAUGUGUAGCGGUGAAAUGCGUAGAUAUAUGGAGGAACACCGGUGGCGAAAGCGGCUCUCUGGUCUGUAACUGACGCUGAGGCUCGAAAGCGUGGGGAGCGAACAGG
rnacentral:rRNA from 1 species